rnacentral:tRNA from 2 species
GGUUUUAUAUUUUAUUUAAAAUAUUAAAUUGCAAAUUUAAAGAAACAUGAUUAUGUUAAAACUU